GAUGAACGCUGGCGGCGUGCCUAAUACAUGCAAGUCGAGCGAACGGACGAGAAGCUUGCUUCUCUGAUGUUAGCGGCGGACGGGUGAGUAACACGUGGAUAACCUACCUAUAAGACUGGGAUAACUUCGGGAAACCGGAGCUAAUACCGGAUAAUAUUUUGAACCGCAUGGUUCAAAAGUGAAAGACGGUCUUGCUGUCACUUAUAGAUGGAUCCGCGCUGCAUUAGCUAGUUGGUAAGGUAACGGCUUACCAAGGCAACGAUGCAUAGCCGACCUGAGAGGGUGAUUGGCCACACUGGAACUGAGACACGGUCCAGACUCCUACGGGAGGCAGCAGUAGGGAAUCUUCCGCGAUGGGCGAAAGCCUGACGGAGCAACGCCGCGUGAGUGAUGAAGGUCUUCGGAUCGUAAAACUCUGUUAUUAGGGAAGAACAUAUGUGUAAGUAACUGUGCACAUCUUGACGGUACCUAAUCAGAAAGCCACGGCUAACUACGUG
rnacentral:rRNA from 1 species